rnacentral:rRNA from 1 species
AACGUAACAAGGUCUCCGUUGGUGAACCAGCGGAGGGAUCAUUACCGAGUUUACAACUCCCAAACCCCUGUGAACAUACCACUUGUUGCCUCGGCGGAUCAGCCCGCUCCCGGUAAAACGGGACGGCCCGCCAGAGGACCCCUAAACUCUGUUUCUAUAUGUAACUUCUGAGUAAAACCAUAAAUAAAUCAAAACUUUCAACAACGGAUCUCUUGGUUCUGGCAUCGAUGAAGAACGCAGCAAAAUGCGAUAAGUAAUGUGAAUUGCAGAAUUCAGUGAAUCAUCGAAUCUUUGAACGCACAUUGCGCCCGCCAGUAUUCUGGCGGGCAUGCCUGUUCGAGCGUCAUUUCAACCCUCAAGCACAGCUUGGUGUUGGGACUCGCGUUAAUUCGCGUUCCCCAAAUUGAUUGGCGGUCACGUCGAGCUUCCAUAGCGUAGUAGUAAAACCCUCGUUACUGGUAAUCGUCGCGGCCACGCCGUUAAACCCCAACUUCUGAAUGUGACCUCGGAUC